GAUGAACGCUGGCGGCGUGCCUAAUACAUGCAAGUCGAGCGAACAGAUAAGGCGCUUGCUCCUUUGACGUUAGCGGCGGACGGGUGAGUAACACGAGGGAAAUCUACCUAUCUGACUGGAAUAACUACGGGAAACCGGGGCAUAUGCCGGAUAACAUUUAGAACCGCAUGGUUCUAAAGUGAAAGAUGGUUUUGCUAUAACUUAUAGAUGGACCCGCGCCGUAUUAGCUAGUUGGUAAGGUAACGGCUUACCAAGGCAACGAUACGUAGCCGACCUGCGAGGGUGAUCGCCCACACUGGAACUGAGACACGGUCCAGACUCCUACGGGAGGCAGCAGUAGGGAAUCUUCCGCAAUGGGCGAAAGCCUGACGGAGCAACGCCGCGUGAGUGAUGAAGGUCUUCGGAUCGUAAAACUCUGUUAUUAGGGAAGAACAAAUGUGUAAGUAACUGUGCACGUCUUGACGGUACCUAAUCAGAAAGCCACGGCCAACUACGUG
rnacentral:rRNA from 1 species